AAAAAUAUUACUUGAUAUAAAUGGUACAUAAAUAUUUUUAUCAGGGUGACAAAAUACUAAUUUUACAUGGAAAAACUCAUAAAUAAACAUACUUUUAGGACAAAAUUUUAAAAAAUUCAAAAUUCAAGGGUGGUAAUUGCCCCCUACUAAUACAUUGGCUCCGCCCCAGCCUCAGUUGAACGCUUCUUCUCUAUUCUGCUCCUUCUCGGUUCUGGGAUCGUCUCCCCCCCCAGCUGCGAGCCCACCCUUUUUGCAUUUCCAGUCGUUCAAACUGCUCGCUGAAAUGCCUCAUCCAAUCAUCCGGCUAUCCACGGGUGCCAGCUUGUGAUUAGCCGUUCCUGUGGAGCAGCCAUCCGGUGUGGAAAAAACGAUACCAUUUCAUAGCAAGAGCUCAGGAGACUAAUCCAACAUGUUGCAGGUUCUGCGUCACCUGUGGCAAUAUGCUACAUGCUAUGCUACCCUAUUCAAGGUUUCGGCCACCUACUCACUCGCAACAGCUGAGGAUGAGGCUCUAAGUUUCUAUUUGGAUCUAACAUCAUGAGCUUCUAGGAUAAGCUUCACGAGAAGCUCUCAGUGAGGCCGCCAUUUCUUCCUUUCUCUCAUAUUAUUAGAAAGAUUAAAUGAGGUUCAUAAUACAUGUGGGGAAUUUUGCCAGUAAAUAUCUUCCUUUCUCUUAUGUUGGAAAGAUUAGAUUAGGGAAACUCUUAUAAACAUUUACAAGGCAAUGUCGGAGACUGAACUCACACUCCAAGAUCUAUUUUCCUUCACGCUAAUCUCAUAUGAGAGUUGGAUGUGCAGGAAUUCUCCACCAAGAGGCCUGCAACCGGUGGCUCAAAUGUACCAUGUCCUUGGACCGUGGCUAACGUCGAAUGCUUGGUACAAGCUAUGGUGAAAAAAAGGUGCUGCAGGUAGCAUCCAGCGCAGGUCAUCAGCUGACAUGUCAUUCUCUCAAAGGGUCGCAGGAGCAAUCGAGAUGGCUAUAAAAUUGAUAAACGAGCUGAAUUCCAAAAUGGGCCAGCCUUGUCCUGAUCGAUUUUGUUUGCAGUACAAGGGAGGCGAUAGAUAACUCCAGUCGCCUUGCUUUGCUUCUCUGUUUUUGUACUUCUAUCAUCUAAGAGGGAGGCUCCCUGUGCCUUCUCUUUAAGCUCAUUGAAUCUAAAUGGAAUCAUUUUGAUGUACUUUAUUAGUUGAAUAGCCGAGAACAACUGGAUAAUCAACUUACGUCAUGCUUGGUUCGCGGGGAUGUUAUUGAUGAUGAAUUAAAUAGA